AAUUAAAAGGGAGUGGUGACAAAUGUUUAGAUUCAAUCGUAAGUACUACUCAUUUGGACUAACACACACCUGCCCUAUAGCACAAGCGAUGGCUAGCGUAGAGGUGUGUGUGUGUGUGUGUGUGUGUGUGUGUGUGUGUGUGUGUGUGUACAGGUGUGUGCACACAUGUAUGCAUGAGCUGGGGCUGUGGAUAGGCAUUUUUCCUAGUGAUACAGAUAGCAGGGCCCCCGAACAAAUAAUAUAUGGGUUUUCAAUAGCAUAGGUAAGGGGUAAAAUAUACCUAGCGUAUUAUUCCCAAUUCUGCAGAUCUUUCCAACAGGACUUUUUUGUACAUAUAUACACAUAUAUAUACACACACAUAUAUAUACCUACAUAUAUAUAUAUUUUUUAAUGUAUUGAAGUUGGAGUUCCCAUCGUGGCGCAGCAGGAAGGAAUCCGACUAGGAACCAUGAGAUCAUGGGUUCGAUCCCUGGCCUCGCUCAGUGGGUUAAGGAUCCGGCAUUGCCAUGAGCUGUGGUGUAGGUUGCAGACGAGGCUCACAUGUAUCCGUUCGUUUUCAGAUUUGUUUCCCAUCUAGGUUAUCACAGAACAUUGGGUAGAGUUCCCUGUGCUGUAGAGCAGCAGCAGCACUUAUUUUUAUAGCGUCCUGUUUCUCCAUCUUCAAAUCGAGUGCCCAGUCCCCGUUCCAACUUUUAAUCUUGAGCCUGAGCUGAAAGUACCCAUGCGGCAUCAAAGUAAAACAACUUUCUUUCUUUUUACUUUUUGGCCACACCUGCAGCUUGUGGAAGUUCCCGGGGCCAGAGACUGAACCCACGCCACAGCAGCAACCCAAGACACUGCAGUGACAAGGCUGGGUCCUUAAUCCGCUGAGCCACAGAGGAACUCCGUAAAAUAACUUUCAAGACCCGCAAGAAAUAUUCACGUGUCUACAACCAUUAAUCCAAAAGACAAUAGUCCAUCACAGCAGGCCCCAGAUGGCCUAAGAAAACGAACAACAAUUUUCCAGCAAAAUUAACUGCCCAUAUUUGACCAUUGCAUGAAAGAGAAAUAUAUGGGGAAGAUGUGCUAAUCCAGUCUCAAGCAGAACCGAUGAAAAAAUGUAUUUUCUGGAAGUGUCCGGGCUUCAGGUCUUGGAAAGGACCUAAUUAUCCAUGAACUAAGGCUAGGGGACGAAUCAGGAGCUAUAGCUGCUGGCCUACGCCACAGCCACAGCAACACGGGAUCUGAGCCACAUCUUCGACAUACAUACACCAUAGCUCACAGCAACACCGGAUCCUUAACCCACUGAAUGAGGCCAGGGAUCGAACCUGCAUCCUUGCGGAUCUUAGUCAGGCUCAUUAACUGCUGAGCCAGGAAGGGAACUCCGAGAACCACAGUUUUUGCUGAGAAUCUCAACUACUAUGUUUUGUUUUGUUUUUUUUUGUCUGAGCCCCAGGCAUAUGGAAGUUCCCCAGCCAGGGAUCGAACCCACACCACAGCAGUAACCAGAGGCACAGCAGUGACAACACCAGAUCCUUAAUCCACUGAGCCACCAGGGAACUAACUCUUCAACUACCACGUUCACUGAAUUGGGGAAUUGAAUCCAAUAUAAUGAAGGUUAAAUGUCAGCCCCGCCAGAGAGGGUGGGAAUCCCUGGAAUGGGCUGAGAAGUUCAGAAUUUCCAUUCACAGAGUAAUUGUAGAAUAUUUGUGUAAGGGGGAAAUUGCACCUAAUGGAAAAUCAUAAGUAUAAAGAAAACACAUUUAAAUGAAGUGUGGUUACCUCUAUUCACUUUACAAGAUUUUGUCUUUUAAAAAUCAUCUGAAAUCAUUUUCCCUUCAAUACAUAGUUCAGUGCAGGGUGUAGGUUUGGAAUCUGCAGAAAUGUUGUACCUGGGUUUUGAACUCUACAGAGUUCUGAAAAUGCUCAAGACCCCACCUUAAAGUCAUCCAACCAAUGCCUCUUCUUGUAGGACCCUGUCUGAAAAAUCUAUGAUAACCAAGAGUCUUCCUUACGGCACACCAAUAAACUCCCUGGAUCAUUUAGUGCAGAGUCCAGCAACCACUUCCAUCACAACCUGGAUGACUGUUGAGCUCAUUACAUUGACCUCUAAGACUAUUUACACAGCUUUAGAAAACAAAACAAAACUCGGUAAUAGUCUAUCGCGUUAUCUGAUGAGCCGUUAUUUCGGUCACCAUAAUAACCUCGGGUAAUCACUGAGUGACUGAGACGUUGCUUAUUCUACAACACAUGAGCCGAGGUCUCAAAUCUCAACAUCUGCCCAGUUCCUGAUCAUCCACCUUAAAACUAUAGACUAGAAAGUUAUCUUAAGACACACUUACCACCUUCAGGCAGAUAAAACACCAGCAUGUUCAUUUUACCCAUCAAACUCUUCCUGCAAACCCUUGAGAAUUAUAAUGAAAGUCAAGUGUUUGACUUCUGCAUGCUCAACAACCUCCUUUUGCCCAUCUGAUGGCAUCAUAGCCUUGAAGCACUGCUUUGAUGCACCACUUGGAGAUUCUUGCACUGGACAAAUGGUUUUCUGCCCACACGCUCAUCAUUAUGUUGUAAUCAAAUGACACUAUUUUGUUUUGUGAAUUACCAGCAUUGUGAUUAAAUGCUGUUUAGAGUACUCAUCUUUAUCCCUUAAAGAAAGCAUUAUUUUUUAAAUGCCAACAAAUGUGAUCUUCAUCCUCCAGAAACUUAAAAGAAAGCCCUUCCAUCUUAAUUAGAAAUGCCUUUCAACAAUAAGCCGAUCACCCAUGACCCUUCAAAAGCUAAGCUGGGUCUCUCCUAGGACUGACAUGCCUAAAACAUUCUCUAAGAUAAAAAAUAUUUUGCCUAUUAAUGAAGAGGAGACAUUGGUGGGGUGGACCUGAGUCCUAGAGAUAUUCUCUUGGAAAUUCACUUAAAAUUACCCUCUUUCUGAAACAGUGAAAUAAUGAUAUUGUACAGAAUGCAAAAAAAAAAAAAAAAAUCACUGUUGAGAUAAUUACAGUAUCUUGGAUUCCCAAACAUCCUUAACUCAAAAGUUGAGGAGUGAGCAUUUUUAAUAGAAGUUGGGUUUGGCUCUGCGCUCCAAACUUAAAUUAUCCUGAGCUUAAGCACCUACUCACUCAUCAUCCUCUGAUUUCAACUCUGAAACAAAUACAUUUCAACUGGCAUUAACUUCUCCAGAAACUUUCCUAAAAUGCAUGUAACACUCAGCACUUCAAACAAUGGGAAGAACAUGCUGUUAUAGCAAAUGAGCAAACAUGAACAUGCCACGUCAAACCUAUUUUUAAAAAGCCAGAAGUGGUUACAGAACUCAAUCUAGCCCCUGAAUGCUCAUCUCUAGAAAAAUGUUCCGUGAACCAAAGAUUCUCACGGAUACUCAACUCCUUAAUUACAAUGAAAUUCCUUAAAAGAACCAGAUUAAAAUGUUAACUGCUACUGAAAUCAGAGCUCCUUUAUGCAAUCAGUUUGAUGAACGAAGGGCUAGACCACAGUAGAGAUACUUUAACUUGUAACUCUUCAGAAGCAUCUUUGUAGUAGGUACUAGUCCAGAAAAGGCUGUAUUGAUUCAUAUAUGCUCAUGAGGGUUAUUUUAUUUCCAGCAAGGGAAGUUAAAAAUAGGUUUUAUAUUUAUAUAAUGUCUCUCAGACAAGCAUAUGAGAAAACUUUGCAAACAACAUCUUGCUUUAUUUCUCGAUAUUCACAGGUGGAAAGAAAAAAGUCAGAUGGCACGAUAUUUUGCACAAGGGGGAAAUGAGACAAAGAGGAGAGAGGUAAAUGAUUAAAGAUGCCUUCUGGUCUCUCAACUUAUUGCACGGCAGUUUACUCUUGAUAUUUGGAGUCUGAAGAGGUAAAAUAAUAUGAAGUCAUAGGCAAGGGAGAAACAAAACUAGAGAAAGGGGCUCAGGAACACGUGAGGCUGCUGCCUACCUGGUGUUACGUGCGGGAUGUACUGAAGGUUCCUACUGAAUCAUCUCUGAUCCAGGCCUUCAAAUUCCAUCAUCACACGUUAAUUUAUGAAUCAAGCAUUUGAUCUGCCUAGAGUCUUCCUUUCAAGUACAUUUCUUCCCUCUGCUCUUCCUCUAAUCAUUAUAAUUAAUACCACAUCUAUUAAUUUCUCACAUUUAUAGAACACAUUCAAAUUUACCAAACAUGUGAAUCCAUAGUA
rnacentral:lncRNA from 1 species